rnacentral:lncRNA from 1 species
GAUGAUGGGGGCUUUCAUUUCCCACCGCGCGUGUGUACCCACCUUUCCUGCACGGUGCGUCAUUAAAUUUAGCUGGAAGAGAAUUCCAGCAGUGGCCAAGGUCUCACCUGGGUUGGAAAGGCCUGGGCAGGGAGCCAGGGACUCCAUCUACCCUGCUAAGCAGAUGACUAACACUGGCAGCAGUCAUAUUUCCUAAUUUGCUGCCUGAUUGUGGUGUGGGAGAAGAUCAAAUCAAGGAAUGAAGGUAUGCACCUACCAUAUUCUGGGCCUCUAGGAGAGCCAAGCAGGGAGCAGAACCCCUGUCCUG